AUUGAACGCUGGCGGCAGGCCUAACACAUGCAAGUCGAACGGUAACAGGAAGCAGCUUGCUGCUUCGCUGACGAGUGGCGGACGGGUGAGUAAUGUCUGGGAAACUGCCUGAUGGAGGGGGAUAACUACUGGAAACGGUAGCUAAUACCGCAUAACGUCGCAAGACCAAAGAGGGGGACCUUAGGGCCUCUUGCCAUCGGAUGUGCCCAGAUGGGAUUAGCUAGUAGGUGGGGUAACGGCUCACCUAGGCGACGAUCCCUAGCUGGUCUGAGAGGAUGACCAGCCACACUGGAACUGAGACACGGUCCAGACUCCUACGGGAGGCAGCAGUGGGGAAUAUUGCACAAUGGGAGCAAGCCUGAUGCAGCCAUGCCGCGUGUAUGAAGAAGGCCUUCGGGUUGUAAAGUACUUUCAGCGGGGAGGAAGGGAGUAAAGUUAAUACCUUUGCUCAUUGACGUUACCCGCAGAAGAAGCACCGGCUAACUCCGUG
rnacentral:rRNA from 1 species